UCCAGACUCCUACGGGAGGCAGCAGUGAGGAAUAUUGGUCAAUGGGCGGGAGCCUGAACCAGCCAAGUCGCGUGAGGGAUGACGGCCCUAUGGGUUGUAAACCUCUUUUGCCGGGGAGCAAAGGGCCGCACGUGUGCGGGUUGGAGAGUACCCGGAGAAAAAGCAUCGGCUAACUCCGUGCCAGCAGCCGCGGUAAUACGGAGGAUGCGAGCGUUAUCCGGAUUUAUUGGGUUUAAAGGGUGCGUAGGCGGACAGUCAAGUCAGCGGUAAAAAUGCGGUGCUCAACGCCGUACAGCCGUUGAAACUGGCAGUCUUGAGUGGGCGAGAAGUAUGCGGAAUGCGUGGUGUAGCGGUGAAAUGCAUAGAUAUCACGCAGAACUCCGAUUGCGAAGGCAGCAUACCGGCGCCCGACUGACGCUGAGGCACGAAAGCGUGGGUAUCGAACAGGAUUAGAUACCCUUGUAA
rnacentral:rRNA from 1 species